rnacentral:rRNA from 1 species
GACGAACGCUGGCGGCGUGCUUAACACAUGCAAGUCGAACGGAAAGGCCUCUUUCGGGGGGUACUCGAGUGGCGAACGGGUGAGUAACACGUGAGUAACCUGCCCUUGACUUUGGGAUAACUUCAGGAAACUGGGGCUAAUACCGGAUAGGAGCUCCUGCUGCAUGGUGGGGGUUGGAAAGUUUCGGCGGUUGGGGAUGGACUCGCGGCUUAUCAGCUUGUUGGUGGGGUAGUGGCUUACCAAGGCUUUGACGGGUAGCCGGCCUGAGAGGGUGACCGGCCACAUUGGGACUGAGGUACGGCCCAGACGCCUACGGGAGGCAGCAGGGGGGAAUAUUGCACAAUGGGUGGAAGCCUGAUGCAGCAACGCCGUGUGCGGGAGGACGGCCUUCGGGUUGUAAACCGCUUUCGCUCAUGACGAAGCUUUGUGUGACGGUAGUGGGUAAAGAAGCACCGGCUAACUACGUG